rnacentral:rRNA from 1 species
UACAGAGGUCUCGAGCGUUAGGCGGAAUCACUGGGCUUAAAGCGUGUGUAGGUGGAUCGUUAAGUACCUUGUGAAAUCCCACGGCUUAACCGUGGAACUGCUUGGUAUACUGGCGGUCUUGAGCCAGCUAGGGGCUACCGGAACAAAUGGUGGAGCGGUGAAAUGCGUAGAUAUCAUGAGGAAGACCAGUGGCGAAGGCGGGUCUCUGGACAGUUCCUGACACUGAGACACGAAGGCCAGGGAGCAAACGGG